rnacentral:pre_miRNA from 1 species
AAUAUUUGACGCCGUUGACUUUUUUAAACAUGUUUGACCGUUCAUCUUAUUCAAAAAAUUUAAGUAAUUAUUAAUUAUUUUCCUACUAUUUCAUUCAUUGUUAAAUAUACUUUUAUGUAUACAUAUAGUUUUACAUAUUCCACAAAAGUUUUUGAAUAAGACGAACGGUCAAACAUGUUUAAAAAAGUCAACGGCGUCAAACAUU